AGCACGCAGUUUGCACGGCGCGGGCUUAGACGGGCGCCCUGGUGGAGAGGCCUGGCGCGGAGCACGUGGUUUCUUCAUUCAUUCCGCCAACGCUGGCGUAUUAAUUGGGUGUCUUCCUCUCCUCUCAUGCCUCCAAGAAACAAGGACCGCUGCAGCAGGCCUAGGAGCCUUCAAGGAUUGGAGGACUGAAGGAAGAGGAAAUUUCGACACACAAUGAGACGCCAGCUAUGUGGACAUACAAAUAAAUACCCCAUGAAGACGCAAGAUGGCCAUCGGCAAGCCAAGGAAAGAGGCCUCUGAGGGAACCACCCUGCUGACACCUCGCUCUCAGACUUCCAGCCUGCAGAACUAUGAGAAAAUAAAUGUCUGUUGUUUAA